rnacentral:rRNA from 1 species
UACGAAGGGUGCUAGCGUUGUUCGGAGUUACUGGGCGUAAAGGGCGCGUAGGCGGCGCACCAAGUCAGGCGUGAAAGCCCUGGGCUCAACCCGGGAAUUGCGCUUGAGACUGGUGUGCUUGAGUACGGGAGAGGAUAGUGGAAUUCCCAGUGUAGAGGUGAAAUUCGUAGAUAUUGGGAAGAACACCGGUGGCGAAGGCGGCUAUCUGGACCGUAACUGACGCUGAGGCGCGAAAGCGUGGGGAGCAAACAGG